UUAAGCGACUAAGCGUACACGGUGGAUGCCCUGGCAGUCAGAGGCGAUGAAGGACGUGCUAAUCUGCGAUAAGCGUCGGUAAGGUGAUAUGAACCGUUAUAACCGGCGAUUUCCGAAUGGGGAAACCCAGUGUGAUUCGUCACACUAUCAUUAACUGAAUCCAUAGGUUAAUGAGGCGAACCGGGGGAACUGAAACAUCUAAGUACCCCGAGGAAAAGAAAUCAACCGAGAUUCCCCCAGUAGCGGCGAGCGAACGGGGAGCAGCCCAGAGCCUGAAUCAGUGUGUGUGUUAGUGGAAGCGUCUGGAAAGGCGCGCGAUACAGGGUGACAGCCCCGUACACAAAAAUGCACAUGCUGUGAGCUCGAUGAGUAGGGCGGGACACGUGGUAUCCUGUCUGAAUAUGGGGGGACCAUCCUCCAAGGCUAAAUACUCCUGACUGACCGAUAGUGAACCAGUACCGUGAGGGAAAGGCGAAAAGAACCCCGGCGAGGGGAGUGAAAAAGAACCUGAAACCGUGUACGUACAAGCAGUGGGAGCACGCUUCGGCGUGUGACUGCGUACCUUUUGUAUAAUGGGUCAGCGACUUAUAUUCUGUAGCAAGGUUAACCGAAUAGGGGAGCCGAAGGGAAACCGAGUCUUAACUGGGCGUUAAGUUGCAGGGUAUAGACCCGAAACCCGGUGAUCUAGCCAUGGGCAGGUUGAAGGUUGGGUAACACUAACUGGAGGACCGAACCGACUAAUGUUGAAAAAUUAGCGGAUGACUUGUGGCUGGGGGUGAAAGGCCAAUCAAACCGGGAGAUAGCUGGUUCUCCCCGAAAGCUAUUUAGGUAGCGCCUCGUGAAUUCAUCUCCGGGGGUAGAGCACUGUUUCGGCAAGGGGGUCAUCCCGACUUACCAACCCGAUGCAAACUGCGAAUACCGGAGAAUGUUAUCACGGGAGACACACGGCGGGUGCUAACGUCCGUCGUGAAGAGGGAAACAACCCAGACCGCCAGCUAAGGUCCCAAAGUCAUGGUUAAGUGGGAAACGAUGUGGGAAGGCCCAGACAGCCAGGAUGUUGGCUUAGAAGCAGCCAUCAUUUAAAGAAAGCGUAAUAGCUCACUGGUCGAGUCGGCCUGCGCGGAAGAUGUAACGGGGCUAAACCAUGCACCGAAGCUGCGGCAGCGACGCUUAUGCGUUGUUGGGUAGGGGAGCGUUCUGUAAGCCUGUGAAGGUGUGCUGUGAGGCAUGCUGGAGGUAUCAGAAGUGCGAAUGCUGACAUAAGUAACGAUAAAGCGGGUGAAAAGCCCGCUCGCCGGAAGACCAAGGGUUCCUGUCCAACGUUAAUCGGGGCAGGGUGAGUCGACCCCUAAGGCGAGGCCGAAAGGCGUAGUCGAUGGGAAACAGGUUAAUAUUCCUGUACUUGGUGUUACUGCGAAGGGGGGACGGAGAAGGCUAUGUUGGCCGGGCGACGGUUGUCCCGGUUUAAGCGUGUAGGCUGGUUUUCCAGGCAAAUCCGGAAAAUCAAGGCUGAGGCGUGAUGACGAGGCACUACGGUGCUGAAGCAACAAAUGCCCUGCUUCCAGGAAAAGCCUCUAAGCAUCAGGUAACAUCAAAUCGUACCCCAAACCGACACAGGUGGUCAGGUAGAGAAUACCAAGGCGCUUGAGAGAACUCGGGUGAAGGAACUAGGCAAAAUGGUGCCGUAACUUCGGGAGAAGGCACGCUGAUAUGUAGGUGAGGUCCCUCGCGGAUGGAGCUGAAAUCAGUCGAAGAUACCAGCUGGCUGCAACUGUUUAUUAAAAACACAGCACUGUGCAAACACGAAAGUGGACGUAUACGGUGUGACGCCUGCCCGGUGCCGGAAGGUUAAUUGAUGGGGUUAGCGGUAACGCGAAGCUCUUGAUCGAAGCCCCGGUAAACGGCGGCCGUAACUAUAACGGUCCUAAGGUAGCGAAAUUCCUUGUCGGGUAAGUUCCGACCUGCACGAAUGGCGUAAUGAUGGCCAGGCUGUCUCCACCCGAGACUCAGUGAAAUUGAACUCGCUGUGAAGAUGCAGUGUACCCGCGGCAAGACGGAAAGACCCCGUGAACCUUUACUAUAGCUUGACACUGAACAUUGAGCCUUGAUGUGUAGGAUAGGUGGGAGGCUUUGAAGUGUGGACGCCAGUCUGCAUGGAGCCGACCUUGAAAUACCACCCUUUAAUGUUUGAUGUUCUAACGUUGACCCGUAAUCCGGGUUGCGGACAGUGUCUGGUGGGUAGUUUGACUGGGGCGGUCUCCUCCUAAAGAGUAACGGAGGAGCACGAAGGUUGGCUAAUCCUGGUCGGACAUCAGGAGGUUAGUGCAAUGGCAUAAGCCAGCUUGACUGCGAGCGUGACGGCGCGAGCAGGUGCGAAAGCAGGUCAUAGUGAUCCGGUGGUUCUGAAUGGAAGGGCCAUCGCUCAACGGAUAAAAGGUACUCCGGGGAUAACAGGCUGAUACCGCCCAAGAGUUCAUAUCGACGGCGGUGUUUGGCACCUCGAUGUCGGCUCAUCACAUCCUGGGGCUGAAGUAGGUCCCAAGGGUAUGGCUGUUCGCCAUUUAAAGUGGUACGCGAGCUGGGUUUAGAACGUCGUGAGACAGUUCGGUCCCUAUCUGCCGUGGGCGCUGGAGAACUGAGGGGGGCUGCUCCUAGUACGAGAGGACCGGAGUGGACGCAUCACUGGUGUUCGGGUUGUCAUGCCAAUGGCACUGCCCGGUAGCUAAAUGCGGAAGAGAUAAGUGCUGAAAGCAUCUAAGCACGAAACUUGCCCCGAGAUGAGUUCUCCCUGACUCCUUGAGAGUCCUGAAGGAACGUUGAAGACGACGACGUUGAUAGGCCGGGUGUGUAAGCGCAGCGAUGCGUUGAGCUAACCGGUACUAAUGAACCGUGAGGCUUAACCU
rnacentral:rRNA from 1 species